rnacentral:rRNA from 1 species
AUUGAACGCUGGCGGCAGGCCUAACACAUGCAAGUCGAGCGAGCGGCGGACGGGUGAGUAAUGUAUGGGGACUGCCCGAUAGAGGGGGAUAACUACUGGAAACGGUAGCUAAUACCGCAUACUAUCGGAUAACCCAUAUGGGAUUAGCUAGUAGGUGAGGUAAUGGCUCACCUAAGCGACGAUCCCUAGCUGGUUUGAGAGGAUGAGCAGCAACACUGGGACUGAGACACGGCCCAGACUCCUACGGAGGCAGCAGUGGGGAAUAUGUCACAAUGGGGGAAAGCCUGAUGCAGCCAUGCCGCGUGUAUGAAGAAGGCCUUAGGGUUGUAAAGUACUUUCAGUAGGGAGGCGUUACCGAAAGAAGAAGCACCGGCUAACUCCGUGCCAGCAGCCACGGUAAUAC